rnacentral:rRNA from 1 species
UUAAGCGACUAAGCGUACACGGUGGAUGCCCUGGCAGUCAGAGGCGAUGAAGGGCGUGCUAAUCUGCGAUAAGCGCCGGUAAGGUGAUAUGAACCGUUAUAACCGGCGAUACCCGAAUGGGGAAACCCAGUGUGAUUCGUCACACUAUCAUUAACUGAAUCCAUAGGUUAAUGAGGCGAACCGGGGGAACUGAAACAUCUAAGUACCCCGAGGAAAAGAAAUCAACCGAGAUUCCCCCAGUAGCGGCGAGCGAACGGGGAGGAGCCCAGAGCCUGAAUCAGCAUGUGUGUUAGUGGAAGCGUCUGGAAAGGCGCGCGAUACAGGGUGACAGCCCCGUACACAAAAGCGCAUGUGCUGUGAGCUCGAUGAGUAGGGCGGGACACGUGGUAUCCUGUCUGAAUAUGGGGGGACCAUCCUCCAAGGCUAAAUACUCCUGACUGACCGAUAGUGAACCAGUACCGUGAGGGAAAGGCGAAAAGAACCCCGGCGAGGGGAGUGAAAAAGAACCUGAAACCGUGUACGUACAAGCAGUGGGAGCACNGUGUGACUGCGUACCUUUUGUAUAAUGGGUCAGCGACUUAUAUUCUGUAGCAAGGUUAACCGUAUAGGGGAGCCGGAGGGAAACCGAGUCUUAACCGGGCGUUAAGUUGCAGGGUAUAGACCCGAAACCCGGUGAUCUAGCCAUGGGCAGGUUGAAGGUUGGGUAACACUAACUGGAGGACCGAACCGACUAAUGUUGAAAAAUUAGCGGAUGACCUGUGGCUGGGGGUGAAAGGCCAAUCAAACCGGGAGAUAGCUGGUUCUCCCCGAAAGCUAUUUAGGUAGCGCCUCGUGAAUUCAUCUCCGGGGGUAGAGCACUGUUUCGGCUAGGGGGCCAUCCCGGCUUACCAACCCGAUGCAAACUGCGAAUACCGGAGAAUGUUAUCACGGGAGACACACGGCGGGUGCUAACGUCCGUCGUGAAGAGGGAAACAACCCAGACCGCCAGCUAAGGUCCCAAAGUCAUGGUUAAGUGGGAAACGAUGUGGGAAGGCCCAGACAGCCAGGAUGUUGGCUUAGAAGCAGCCAUCAUUUAAAGAAAGCGUAAUAGCUCACUGGUCGAGUCGGCCUGCGCGGAAGAUGUAACGGGGCUAAACCAUGCACCGAAGCUGCGGCAGCGAACGUAUCACCCAAGACAACUUUACGGAGUUGACGAUUGACGGAGCGAAGCGACGUCAAAGCGUUCAUUAAAGUCGAGUUGGCUUAGGGAUACGUUCGUUGGGUAGGGGAGCGUUCUGUAAGCCUGUGAAGGUGUGUCGUGAGGCAUGCUGGAGGUAUCAGAAGUGCGAAUGCUGACAUAAGUAACGAUAAAGCGGGUGAAAAGCCCGCUCGCCGGAAGACCAAGGGUUCCUGUCCAACGUUAAUCGGGGCAGGGUGAGUCGACCCCUAAGGCGAGGCCGAAAGGCGUAGUCGAUGGGAAACGGGUUAAUAUUCCCGUACUUGGUGUUACUGCGAAGGGGGGACGGAGAAGGCUAUGUUGGCCGGGCGACGGUUGUCCCGGUUUAAGCGUGUAGGUGUGUGUUCCAGGUAAAUCCGGUUCACUUUAACACUGAGGCGUGACGACGAGGCACUACGGUGCUGAAGCAACAAAUGCCCUGCUUCCAGGAAAAGCCUCUAAGCAUCAGGUAACACGAAAUCGUACCCCAAACCGACACAGGUGGUCAGGUAGAGAAUACCAAGGCGCUUGAGAGAACUCGGGUGAAGGAACUAGGCAAAAUGGUGCCGUAACUUCGGGAGAAGGCACGCUGACACGUAGGUGAAGUGAUUUACUCAUGGAGCUGAAGUCAGUCGAAGAUACCAGCUGGCUGCAACUGUUUAUUAAAAACACAGCACUGUGCAAACACGAAAGUGGACGUAUACGGUGUGACGCCUGCCCGGUGCCGGAAGGUUAAUUGAUGGGGUCAGCGCAAGCGAAGCUCCUGAUCGAAGCCCCGGUAAACGGCGGCCGUAACUAUAACGGUCCUAAGGUAGCGAAAUUCCUUGUCGGGGAAGUUCCGACCUGCACGAAUGGCGUAAUGAUGGCCAGGCUGUCUCCACCCGAGACUCAGUGAAAUUGAACUCGCUGUGAAGAUGCAGUGUACCCGCGGCAAGACGGAAAGACCCCGUGAACCUUUACUAUAGCUUGACACUGAACAUUGAGCCUUGAUGUGUAGGAUAGGUGGGAGGCUUUGAAGUGUGGACGCCAGUCUGCAUGGAGCCGACCUUGAAAUACCACCCUUUAAUGUUUGAUGUUCUAACGUGGACCCGUAAUCCGGGUUGCGGACAGUGUCUGGUGGGUAGUUUGACUGGGGCGGUCUCCUCCUAAAGAGUAACGGAGGAGCACGAAGGUUGGCUAAUCCUGGUCGGACAUCAGGAGGUUAGUGCAAUGGCAUAAGCCAGCUUGACUGCGAGCGUGACGGCGCGAGCAGGUGCGAAAGCAGGUCAUAGUGAUCCGGUGGUUCUGAAUGGAAGGGCCAUCGCUCAACGGAUAAAAGGUACUCCGGGGAUAACAGGCUGAUACCGCCCAAGAGUUCAUAUCGACGGCGGUGUUUGGCACCUCGAUGUCGGCUCAUCACAUCCUGGGGCUGAAGUAGGUCCCAAGGGUAUGGCUGUUCGCCAUUUAAAGUGGUACGCGAGCUGGGUUUAGAACGUCGUGAGACAGUUCGGUCCCUAUCUGCCGUGGGCGCUGGAGAACUGAGGGGGGCUGCUCCUAGUACGAGAGGACCGGAGUGGACGCAUCACUGGUGUUCGGGUUGUCAUGCCAAUGGCACUGCCCGGUAGCUAAAUGCGGAAGAGAUAAGUGCUGAAAGCAUCUAAGCACGAAACUUGCCCCGAGAUGAGUUCUCCCUGAGACUUAGAGUCUCCUGAAGGAACGUUGAAGACGACGACGUUGAUAGGCCGGGUGUGUAAGCGCAGCGAUGCGUUGAGCUAACCGGUACUAAUGAACCGUGAGGCUUAACCUU